rnacentral:rRNA from 1 species
AAAUUGAAGAGUUUGAUCAUGGCUCAGAUUGAACGCUGGCGGCAGGCCUAACACAUGCAAGUCGAACGGUAACAGGAAGCAGCUUGCUGCUUUGUUGACGAGUGGCGGACGGGUGAGUAAUGUCUGGGAAACUGCCUGAUGGAGGGGGAUAACUACUGGAAACGGUGGCUAAUACCGCAUAACGUCGCAAGACCA